GACGAACGCUGGCGGCGUGCUUAACACAUGCAAGUCGAACGGAAAGGCCCUGCUUUUGUGGGGUGCUCGAGUGGCGAACGGGUGAGUAACACGUGAGUAACCUGCCCUUGACUUUGGGAUAACUUCAGGAAACUGGGGCUAAUACCGGAUAGGAGCUCCUGCUGCAUGGGGGGGGUUGGAAAGUUUCGGCGGUUGGGGAUGGACUCGCGGCUUAUCAGCUUGUUGGUGGGGUAGUGGCUUACCAAGGCUUUGACGGGUAGCCGGCCUGGGAGGGUGACCGGCCACAUUGGGCCUGAGAUACGGCCCAGACUCCUACGGGGGGCAGCAGUGGGGAAUAUUGCACAAGGGGCGGAAGCCUGAUGCAGCAACGCCGCGUGCGGGAUGACGGCCUUCGGGUUGUAAACCGCUUUCGCCUGUGACGAAGCGUGAGUGACGGUAAUGGGUAAAGAAGCACCGGCUAACUACGUG
rnacentral:rRNA from 1 species